rnacentral:rRNA from 1 species
GACGAACGCUGGCGGCGUGCUUAACACAUGCAAGUCGAACGGAAAGGCCCUGCUUUUGUGGGGUGCUCGAGUGGCGAACGGGUGAGUAACACGUGAGUAACCUGCCCUUGACUUUGGGAUAACUUCAGGAAACUGGGGCUAAUACCGGAUAGGAGCUCCUGCUGCAUGGUGGGGGUUGGAAAGUUUCGGCGGUUGGGGAUGGACUCGCGGCUUAUCAGCUUGUUGGUGGGGUAGUGGCUUACCAAGGCUUUGACGGGUAGCCGGCCUGAGAGGGUGACCGGCCACAUUGGGACUGAGAUACGGCCCAGACUCCUACGGGAGGCAGCAGUGGGGAAUAUUGCACAAUGGGCGGAAGCCUGAUGCAGCAACCCCGCGUGCGGGAUGACGGCCUUCGGGUUGUAAACCGCUUUCGCCUGUGACGAAGCGUGAGUGACGGUAAUGAGUAAAGAAGCACCGGCUAACUACGUG